rnacentral:lncRNA from 1 species
UGGCAAUUGUUAAGGUGAUGUUCACCGCCCUUUGGGUUGAUAGAGCUACACGUAUUGCUGCCAGCUCUGCCCGUUGAAUGGUAUUUGUACAUCCUUCGCCCGCUGGGUCGAUGUGCAGCGUUUUUCCGGUGGGUCCACAGUAUGCAGCCGCACCCAACUUGUUCUGGCCGUCGUUUUCAGCCGAUUUAAUACAGCUACCGUCGGUCCAGAUGAUAGUGUGCGGGUCCAUCCUGAGUGGUACUUGUCCGGGAAAAGCUGCUGUCAGGUGCUGCUGGAGCAUCUGUCCGUCCGAGUGGGGGACUUUGGCGGUUGGUCUUGGUCUGGGCGGCUUUGAGGCAUUCAUCUUGCGCAUGACCUGAGCGACUUUGUUUGGGUAGGGUCGUUGGGUGCCGAUGCAGUGAGUACCCGCGGACAUGUCCCGCAGUCGCAGAUGUUUUCUGGGGAGGCCGGUGGUGUCCAUCGCUUCGAGUUCGGAUAGGAGCGCCUUCAUGGAUCGGGCGUUUAGUCCUCGGAUCACCAUGUCGUUGGCCACCAUGACGAGGUCCAGGCCCCCCUUGUAGUCAGGGGUGGGGCCAUCAGUUCCAGUCCCGCUGGUAAGCUUGCAUGCUUCACCGCGGCUCAGCCGCACGAGCUGGAAGACAUAUGGUGUGUUGUGUAUACGUAGCUGCAUGUGGGGGCCAGUUCGGCUGUGCGGGACAAUGAGUAGUGUGGCGGUGGGCAGUGCGGAUGUCAUUGUGUAUGAUGCACCUGCGACUGCCCACAUUACUGCCUUCUUGACACUGGUGGGGUCAGGGUUCGGGUGUGCUAUCGAGAGGCCUGUAAAUGGCUGAGAGAAUGCAUAUAUGUUUGCCCCGAAGAGUUGGUCUUCUGUGUGGACACUGAAGUAGUAUUGCACCUCUUCACCGCAGUUAAGCGGGGAUGAGAACCUUUCGAUGACUGGACCGGCAUCCAGGGUGUGCAGGGCAUCAAUCAGCAUACAGCACAGUUUUCUGCUCAUGGUCGCCUGCGACCGUGGCGGGCCUUUCAUUUCGCACCCGUCGGGGUCCUUUCCAUACCGCAGGAGAAGGUGCGCGACGUCCUCGGUGAAGCUGCCCUGGGAGGACAGGCUUCUGUGCACCUCCGGGUAAGUGUCGAUCGUGUGUUGGUAUCGCACUCUGAG